rnacentral:rRNA from 1 species
UACGUAGGGGUCGAGCGUUGUCCGGAGUUACUGGGCGUAAAGCGUGUGCAGGCGGCUCAUUGCGCCCGGCGUGAAAGCCCCCGGCUCAACCGGGGAGAGUCGUCGGGGACGGGUGAGCUUGAGGGUAUCAGGGGCUGGUGGAAUUCCCGGUGUAGUGGUGAAAUGCGUAGAUAUCGGGAGGAACACCCGUGGCGAAGGCGGCCAGCUGGGAUACACUUGACGCUGAGACACGAAGGCGUGGGGAGCGAACGGG